rnacentral:piRNA from 1 species
UGACGUAUGGCUUGGUGUCCUUGAC